ensembl:lncRNA
GUGCAUGGGCCCUUUAAGACCCGGGUCUUUUCGGCUUUCGGCUGAUAGCUUCUCUGGGGGUAUCCUCGCUGCAGUUAAUAGCCAGCAAAGCCGGACGAUAAGAUCACCUCUAUGUGACACAGUGACUCACUGAGCUGGACGAGAAGUGAAGUCCAGGGAAGGAUUUGAAAAGAUAAAGGCUGUAGUCCAGAACUACGAGAAUGUGUGUAGCGCAGCCCUUGCAAACGGAAGGCAACAAGCAGAGAAAGAAGCUCUUUGAGUAGAAGGAGAUGCCUAGCGUCAUAAACGUUGCUAUUGACAUGAAGCUUCUUCAAGGUUGUGGCAUGUGGGACGCCACCUCAGCAUGGUUCGAUGAGCAGUGCCAUGUCCGCGCCCAGGACUCGAACCAACGAAACACUGGGCCGCCUGCAGCGGAGCGCGCGAACUUAACCACUCGGCCACGGGGCCAGCCCCUAUACUCGAUUUUUUAAUCCUGAAACAUGAUACUCUUCUAAUACCCAGAAGUUAUCAGAAAAGCAAUCUAUUUUUCAGACAUCCAGGAAGAAGGAAUGGAGAUCUCACGGAGCAUAUUUGAAUGUCCUGGUGGUAGAAAAACAAAAUUCGUUUUUGACUGUAUCCUACAGAGUUCAGUGUGUUUACUAAACCUCUUAGACAUCCUUAUUUACUUUUAUAAGAUAUUUUGCCACACAGCAUUCAAUUGUGUCCAGUUUUCCUCUCCAGUGGAGCUAUGUUCUGUUGUUAUGUUGAAAACUAAAAAUAUAAAUAUAGCCAUAUAGGAGCUACUAUUGAAAGUAAAACAAUAAAGUUUCAG